rnacentral:rRNA from 1 species
UACGUAGGGACCGAGCGUUGUCCGGAUUCAUUGGGCGUAAAGAGCUCGUAGGCGGCUGUUCAAGUCGAACGUGAAAACUCGGAGCUCAACUCCGAGCCUGCGUUCGAUACUGGACGGCUAGAGUCUGGUAGGGGGAUCUGGAAUUCCUGGUGUAGCGGUGGAAUGCGUAGAUAUCUGGAGGAAUACCGGUGGCGAAGGCGGCAUCCUGGACCGACAUUGACGCUGAGGAGCGAAAGCUAGGGGAGCGAACAGG